rnacentral:rRNA from 1 species
UCCAGUUUGUCAUGCUGCAAGAGUGAACUAGCUAAMUGAAAUCAUAGAAUUUUUUAAAAUUCAUGAUGUYGUAAGGGAAAAUAAUGAUAAUACCUUACUAUGAGUGUUGUCCAAAUYUGGUGCCAGAAGACUCGGUAAGACCAGAAACGCAAACGUUWAUCAUCAUAAACMGGSGUAAAGGGUUUGUAGGCAGCUUUUAUCAGAUUWUGCAUUUUAAAAUAAAGUAGUYUAAUUAAAAGCUAGAAUCAAAAAGAGGUUAUAGUGUAUAACGCCUAGAGGAGGGSUGAUAUCCAUAGAUCCUAGGCAGAAUACUAAGGGSGAAGGCCMCUUUCCMUUAAUGAUUGACGCUGAGAAACGAAGGUUAGGGUAGGAAAUAGGAUUAGAUACCCCGGUACUCCUUUYUGUAAACGAUGAAUGGUAGUCMUUAGUUUUUGUYUUUUUUUUUUGUCUUUUUUUUGUUUGUCUUUUUUUUUUAAUUAAACAAAAAAAAGAAGAAUUAAAAAAAAAAGAAGAAAAAUAACUAGAGACGAAGUUAACACAAUAACCAUUCCGCCUUGUGAGUACUACUGCAAAGUAGAAAACAAAAAAAUUAGUCGUCUCGAAGCAAACGGAGUGAAGCAGGUUAUUUAUGAAA